rnacentral:lncRNA from 1 species
UCGACAUCGAUCCGAGGCGGGUCGAGUUCAACAUAAUCUCCGGCACCUCCAUGGCGUGCCCCCAUGUUAGCGGCAUCGCCGCCCUGCUCCGCCGUGCCUAUCCAGAUUGGAGCCCAGCUGCCAUCAAAUCCGCCCUGAUGACCACGGCCUACAACUCAGACGACUCCGGCGAGACCAUCAAGGACUUGGCAACCGAAGCGGAGUCCACACCUUUCGUUCGCGGUGCCGGCCACGUGGAUCCGAACCGCGCGCUCGACCCCGGUCUAGUGUACGACUCGAACGUCGACGACUACCUCGCCUUCCUCUGCGCGAU